rnacentral:lncRNA from 1 species
GGGUGGAGGUGGGGACGGGCGGGGCCUGAGCCAGGCACGAAUGCACGAAUAUGAGUGCUAGCAAUAGCCAACAUGCCCUGAGAGCCAACCAGCUUGGACCAGGCUGACCCUGACAUGCACUAUUUGUUUUAAGUCUUCCAACAACCUGGCAGGGCAUAUUCCCACCCAUACAGAGGACACCGAGGCCCUGAGAGAUCAGGCAAUUUGCCCAAACAGCAGAGCCAGGGUUUGAACCCAAAUGUCUAUUGGUCAAUGUCUGUUGGGCGCACACAAGCGGUCAGUGGAGUGUGGUCCUUUGAUAAAUGUUGAGGUUGGAAUCAUAGGGUGAGAGGAAGACACAGGAGUGGGGAGAAGACAGAAGCAGGAGCCUGGCUGCGGGCCCCCCACGGCCUGGGCUCUGGGCUUCUCCAGCAAACCGCUGCCGUCCUGAGGGCCCAGGAACCUGGCUGCAGGCGCUUAGCCUCCACAGGGAGGAGAGAGAGAGAGCCCUGGGAAGAAGCCACUGCAGCAUGAAGGCCCUUCUGGGGCAGGAAGCCGCCUGGAGCCUGAGGCGCCACCUCCAGCCCAUGGCUUGGCCUCGUAUUUUCACCCCAGCCGCAGUUUCCCGGUCUGUCACCUAAGGAAGCAGUUCUGCCGGCUUCACCAAGCUGCUGUGGGGCCUGGAGAGGGAGGGGAAUGUGGGCUACAGGCUGGCCUGAAGCGUGCAUCAUCACACAGCAGCUGGCAUGCCACCCGUCACCUUCAGUUCCCUCUUCAGCAGAGGGGGAGAGGGCCAGGCAGAUGUGGGUGA